rnacentral:rRNA from 1 species
CAACGGCUUGACGAUAAGAAAGCUGUCUCUCUUUACUGAACUCCGAAGUUAGCUGGAUAGUGAAGAGACUCUCUUAGCAAAGCGGGACGAGAAGACCCCGUUGAGCUUUAGUAAAAAUUGUUUAAUAAAAACUUGAUUACUUGAGUUGGGGCAACUAUCUUUCUUUUUUAAAACAAAGAUAAAAACGUUUUGAGUUAAUUCUUUUAUGACCCUUAAUCUUAGGAAUAAUAGAAAAAGUUACCACGGGGAUAACAGCGUAAUUUUUUUUGAGAGUUCUUAUUGACAAAAAAGUUUGCGACCUCGAUGUUG